rnacentral:rRNA from 1 species
UACGUAGGUGGCGAGCGUUGUCCGGAAUUACUGGGUGUAAAGGGCGAGUAGGCGGACAUACAAGUCAGAAGUGAAAUCUAGGGGCUCAACCCCUAAACUGCUUUUGAAACUGUAUGCCUUGAGUGCCGGAGAGGAAAGCGGAAUUCCUAGUGUAGCGGUGAAAUGCGUAGAUAUUAGGAGGAACACCAGUGGCGAAGGCGGCUUUCUGGACGGUAACUGACGCUGAGGCGCGAAAGCGUGGGGAGCAAACAGG